GGGGCUUCUAGACGGGUGGCUUCCUGCCAGCUCCAAAACCGGAAUUAGUUUUAGCUAGCAUAACCUGGAAUGUGUUAUGGUCUAGCUCCAAAAUGUUCCCCAAAAGUCUCGUGUAGAGAUGUGUCACAGGGUAUAACCACAGAGGGUGUAAUGCAAGAAUCUCCCCGAAGACACCAAUGAUCAGAAACAGGAAAUGUUGGAACUUGCCACCGCUGUCAUCCAGCCCACCAAGCAUCUUUGCCCUGACCAGUGCCAUGUGCCAGAAUUAACAGCACUUGAAACUCGUAGCAGUCUAAGAAGCCUCACCUUCUCCUUCCCAUCAUCCCCGACACAGACAACUACAUUCACUGUUGACGGAGGACAAACCUGUGACAAGAUUCCACAAAAUGGCCUUAUGUAUGGAGGAAAGCAUUCGACGGGGAAAGUGGAUUUUGCGUCAAUCAUGUCAGACUUGCAAGAGAGAAGUUUCUGA
rnacentral:lncRNA from 1 species